CGGAAUGCACGUGGGGAGAAAGUACCGUGGAGGAAGAAAUUAACUUCAAGAUUCAAGGCCUUACAUUUGAGAAGGACUAAGGGCAAAGCCUUUGUUUUGUGUGCAGAUCUGUUGGUGGGAACUCUGCUGAGCCGCUGAAGCCAAAGAACAUCGUUCAGAUUCCAGUCUCUGCUUCACUGAGUGGGGCAAGAUCUUCAGGAUAUUUGUAUGUCUUCCAGCACAUCUAAGGAGUGACUAGGUUGGGUCAUCAUGAAUGUUUCCUGAGAUCUCAGACUCAUCAAGACGCUUGGCUGCAGGGCAUAAGUGACUUAUGGAGAGCAUCUAGACCCUCAUCUUAGUUUCUAGAUGCCUGAGAAGACACUGUGCAUUGGAACACAACCAUCAAUAAAAAUCCCAGGCCCCAAGCAAAGACAAAAUUCACUCUUCUUUCCUUUCUGAGGUUCUCAGAUGCUCUGUCUCUACACUCACUCUAUAUGUUAAAUAAAUUCUGCUCUCACUUCC